UGACCCUAACCCUGAACCAGUCCCUGACGCGGCCAGUCUCUCGCAAAUCGACGUGAGCUUCCUCAUACCGCCCACCAUUGCUUAAUGACCUGCAAUUAAAAAGAGUAAACUAGUCAGCAUAGACACACAAAACAUAAUUACAAAGAUAUGGAAAUUAUAAUUAAAUUAUAAAUAAAUUAGUACAAAUCAUACAUGUAUUAGAAAUAAUCAUCAUGAUCGGGAUUAGCUGGAUCAUAAGUCUCAUCAUCACUAUCACGCGUGUCGAUAUAGUCAAGCCCGUGCUCCGAAGGAGGAAUGUCGUCAUCACUAUCAUUAGCUAACUGUAAUCGUUGAAGUAAUUCUAAGUCCUUCACAUUCUGAACCUCGUCUCCACCGUCCUCUAUCUCAACCCUCUC
rnacentral:lncRNA from 1 species